UGAGCGGACAGAUGGGAGCUUGCUCCCUGAAGUCAGCGGCGGACGGGUGAGUAACACGUGGGCAACCUGCCUGUAAGACUGGGAUAACUCCGGGAAACCGGGGCUAAUACCGGAUAAUUCUUUUCCUCACAUGAGGAAAAGCUGAAAGAUGGUUUCGGCUAUCACUUACAGAUGGGCCCGCGGCGCAUUAGCUAGUUGGUGAGGUAACGGCUCACCAAGGCCACGAUGCGUAGCCGACCUGAGAGGGUGAUCGGCCACACUGGGACUGAGACACGGCCCAGACUCCUACGGGAGGCAGCAGUAGGGAAUCUUCCGCAAUGGACGAAAGUCUGACGGAGCAACGCCGCGUGAGUGAUGAAGGUUUUCGGAUCGUAAAACUCUGUUGUCAGGGAAGAACAAGUACCGGAGUAACUGCCGGUACCUUGACGGUACCUGACCAGAAAGCCACGGCUAACUACGUGCCAGCAGCCGCGGAAACGAGGG
rnacentral:rRNA from 1 species